rnacentral:rRNA from 1 species
CCUACGGGAGGCAGCAGUGGGGAAUCUUGCGCAAUGGGCGAAAGCCUGACGCAGCCAUGCCGCGUGAAUGAUGAAGGUCUUAGGAUUGUAAAAUUCUUUCACCGGGGACGAUAAUGACGGUACCCGGAGAAGAAGCCCCGGCUAACUUCGUGCCAGCAGCCGCGGUAAUACGAAGGGGGCUAGCGUUGCUCGGAAUUACUGGGCGUAAAGGGAGCGUAGGCGGAUAGUUUAGUCAGAGGUGAAAGCCCAGGGCUCAACCUUGGAAUUGCCUUUGAUACUGGCUAUCUUGAGUAUGGGAGAGGUUAGCGGAACUCCGAGUGUAGAGGUGAAAUUCGUAGAUAUUCGGAAGAACACCAGUGGCGAAGGCGGCUAACUGGCCCAUUACUGACGCUGAGGCUCGAAAGCGUGGGGAGCAAACAGGAUUAGAUACCCUGGUAGUCCACGCCGUAAACGAUGAGUGCUAGUUGUCGGCAUGCAUGCAUGUCGGUGACGCAGCUAACGCAUUAAGCACUCCGCCUGGGGGAGGUACGGUCGCAGAUAAACUACAAGAAGUAGUACGGCGNGAGACGUAGCCGACGACGACCGACGACGGGAGGUAGG